AUUGAACGCUGGCGGCAGGCCUAACACAUGCAAGUCGAACGAGUGGCGGACGGGUGAGUAAUGUCUGGGAACUGCCCGAUGGAGGGGGAUAACUACUGGAAACGGUAGCUAAUACCGCAUACUAUCGGAUAACCCAUAUGGGAUUAGCUAGUAGGUGAGGUAAUGGCUCACCUAGGCGACGAUCCCUAGCUGGUCUGAGAGGAUGAUCAGCCACACUGGGACUGAGACACGGCCCAGACUCCUACGGAGGCAGCAGUGGGGAAUAUUGCACAAUGGGCGCAAGCCUGAUGCAGCCAUGCCGCGUGUAUGAAGAAGGCCUUAGGGUUGUAAAGUACUUUCAGUGGGGAGGCGUUACCGGCAGAAGAAGCACCGGCUAACUCCGUGCCAGCCGCCGCGGUAAUAC
rnacentral:rRNA from 1 species